rnacentral:rRNA from 1 species
CCUACGGGUGGCUGCAGUGGGGAAUAUUGGACAAUGGGCGAAAGCCUGAUCCAGCCAUGCCGCGUGUGUGAAGAAGGCCUUCGGGUUGUAAAGCACUUUCAGUGGGGAAGAAAGCCUUGGGGCUAAUACCCUCGAGGAAGGACAUCACCCACAGAAGAAGCACCGGCUAACUCCGUGCCAGCAGCCGCGGUAAUACGGAGGGUGCGAGCGUUAAUCGGAAUUACUGGGCGUAAAGCGCGCGUAGGCGGUCUGAUAAGCCGGUUGUGAAAGCCCCGGGCUCAACCUGGGAACGGCAUCCGGAACUGUCAGGCUAGAGUGCAGGAGAGGAAGGUAGAAUUCCCGGUGUAGCGGUGAAAUGCGUAGAGAUCGGGAGGAAUACCAGUGGCGAAGGCGGCCUUCUGGACUGACACUGACGCUGAGGUGUGAAAGCGUGGGUAGCAAACAGGAUUAGAUACCCUUGUAGUC